rnacentral:rRNA from 1 species
AGCGAACGCUGGCGGCAGGCCUAACACAUGCAAGUCGAACGGACCCUUCGGGGUUAGUGGCGGACGGGUGAGUAACACGUGGGAACGUGCCUUUAGGUUCGGAAUAGCUCCUGGAAACGGGUGGUAAUGCCGAAUGUGCCCUUCGGGGGAAAGAUUUAUCGCCUUUAGAGCGGCCCGCGUCUGAUUAGCUAGUUGGUGAGGUAACGGCUCACCAAGGCGACGAUCAGUAGCUGGUCUGAGAGGAUGACCAGCCACACUGGGACUGAGACACGGCCCAGACUCCUACGGGAGGCAGCAGUGGGGAAUCUUGCGCAAUGGGCGAAAGCCUGACGCAGCCAUGCCGCGUGAAUGAUGAAGGUCUUAGGAUUGUAAAAUUCUUUCACCGGGGACGAUAAUGACGGUACCCGGAGAAGAAGCCCCGGCUAACUUCGUGCCAGCAGCCGCGGUAAUACGAAGGGGGCUAGCGUUGCUCGGAAUUACUGGGCGUAAAGGGCGCGUAGGCGGAUCGUUAAGUCAGAGGUGAAAUCCCAGGGCUCAACCCUGGAACUGCCUUUGAUACUGG